rnacentral:rRNA from 1 species
AACGAACGCUGGCGGCAGGCUUAACACAUGCAAGUCGAACGCCCCGCAAGGGGAGUGGCAGACGGGUGAGUAGCGCGUGGGAACAUACCCUUUUCUACGGAAUAGCUCUGGGAAACUGGAAUUAAUACCGUAUACGCCCUACGGGGGAAAGAUUUAUCGGGGAAGGAUUGGCCCGCGUUGGAUUAGCUAGUUGGUGGGGUAAAGGCCUACCAAGGCGACGAUCCAUAGCUGGUCUGAGAGGAUGAUCAGCCACAUUGGGACUGAGACACGGCCCAAACUCCUACGGGAGGCAGCAGUGGGGAAUAUUGGACAAUGGGCGCAAGCCUGAUCCAGCCAUGCCGCGUGAGUGAUGAAGGCCUUAGGGUUGUAAAGCUCUUUCACCGAUGAAGAUAAUGACGGUAGUCGGAGAAGAAGCCCCGGCUAACUUCGCG